rnacentral:rRNA from 1 species
UACAGAGGUCUCAAGCGUUGUUCGGAUUCAUUGGGCGUAAAGGGCGCGUAGGCGGCUGUCCAAGUCAGGUGUGAAAGCCCGGGGCUCAACCCCGGAAAUGCACUUGAGACUGGGCGGCUUGAGGACGGGAGAGGAUAGUGGAAUUCCCAGUGUAGAGGUGAAAUUCGUAGAUAUUGGGAAGAACACCGGUGGCGAAGGCGGCUAUCUGGACCGUUUCUGACGCUGAGGCGCGAAAGCGUGGGGAGCAAACAGG